AUACGUAGGGAGCGAGCGUUGUCCGGAAUUACUGGGCGUAAAGCGGGCGCAGGCGGCGCUUCAAGUCCUCUGUCAAAUGGCAGGGCUUAACCCUUUUUCGCCGACGAUGAUCGAGAGCUUGAGAAGCAGAGAGGCAAACAGCAUCUCUGCGGUAGCGGUGGACUGCGUAGAUAUCAGGAAGAAUACCAGUGGCGAAGGCGGUUUGCGGGAUGCAUACUGUCGCUAAAGCGCGAAAGCGAGGGGAGCAAACGGGAUUAGAUACCCCGGUAGUCCUGGAAGUAAACGAUGUAUGCAGGGUGUGAGACUAGCGAUAGUUUCGUGCCGAAGUUAACGCGAUAAGCAUACCGCCUGGGGAGUACGGUCGCAAGAUUGAAACUCAAAGGAAUUGACGGGG
rnacentral:rRNA from 1 species